GGGGUUGUGGCUCAGUGGUAGAGUGCUCGCCUAGCAUGUGUGAGGCCCUGGGUUCAAUCCUCAGCACCA
rnacentral:tRNA from 1 species